GGCGGGAUAGCUCAGCUGGUUAGAGCGUGGGAUUCAUAAACCCAAGGUCCUGAGUCCGAAUCUCAGUCCCGCUA
rnacentral:tRNA from 2 species